rnacentral:rRNA from 1 species
ACACGCGUAUCAGAAGGACUCUCGGCAACGGAUAUCUCGGCUCUUGCAUCGAUGAAGAACGUAGCGAAAUGCGAUACUUGGUGUGAAUUGCAGAAUCCCGUGAACCAUCGAGUCUUUGAACGCAAGUUGCGCCCAAAGCCAUUAGGCUGAGGGCACGCC